rnacentral:misc_RNA from 1 species
AUAAACUUUGCUGCUGUCGUUCACGCAGAGGCCCCACAGUCAUCAGCCACCAACGCCCACAUCCCUCGUUCCCUUACUGACUCAUACUUACCUGACACGGCGUUGGGCCUGUACUUGGAAGCAUCUUCGGAUUCGGAUCCUUCUAAGUACUUGGUCACCUCCUCAAUGUAUCUGACCCAAAGCGAAAUCCUCAGGUAUUCGGCCGACAGAGGCAUUACUUCUGCAGCUGCCUCCACCGCUUCGCAUUUGGCGCCAUGGACUCCACCGCCCGGUGUCGAUGUUUCUACUGCCGUUGAACCCCUCCUCGCCGGCAUCAAGCGUUCUAAUGAAGCUUGGUAUUCUACCAAAUCUUUAGCGAAGCGUUCUAGAUUCGAGAGCGCAAGCAAUUUGCCUAUGUAUCCACAGAGGCCAGGAGAGAAGGACUGUGCCUACUAUAUGCUCACAAGAACCUGUAAAUUUGGAGAUAGCUGCAAGUUUGACCAUCCUAUUUGGGUUCCUGAGGGUGGAAUCCCAAAUUGGACAGAGGUCCCCAUUGCUACCAUUGAAUCCCUUCCUGAGAGACUAGGUCAGCCUGAUUGUCCUUACUUUCUAAAGACUCAAAGAUGCAAGUAUGGUUCGAAAUGCAAGUUUAAUCAUCCAAAAGAUAAAUUGGCUUUGUUUCAGGAUGGUUUGGAAAACACCGAUGUUUCUGCCUUACCAGAGAGGCCUUCUGAACCACAAUGUGCAUUCUAUAUGAAGACUGGGAAAUGCAAGUUUGGAGUAACAUGCAAAUUUCAUCAUCCGAAAGAUAUCCAGAUCCUAUUGGGACAAGAAAAUGGUAAUGCUGUGCAGACUGAAUCAGCAGUUAAGAUGGAUGAAGUAACUGGAGCUGGACAUGUCAGUGUGGUUAAUUCCAUCUCGUUUGACCCAGCCUCAUUUCAUAAUUCCAAAGGACUUCCAAUCAGACCGGGUGAACUGGAUUGUCCGUUCUACCUGAAAACUGGCAGUUGCAAGUAUGGUGCCACUUGUCGCUAUAAUCAUCCCGAUAGGAAUGCAAUCAGCCCACCUGCUGCUGCUAUGGGGCAUUCCAUUGUAGCCACUCUUGCAGCUAAUCUGAACUUUGGAGUCAUUCCUGCCG